GUUGUACUCCCUCCGUUCGAAAAUACUUGUCAUCAAAAUGAAUAAAAGGGGACUUUUUGUUCAUUUUGAUGACAAGUAUUUUCGGACGGAGGGAGUACUAC
rfam:Triticum urartu cultivar G1812 contig160203, whole genome shotgun sequence.